rnacentral:pre_miRNA from 1 species
AGCUUUUUGAAUUCAUACUGAGAUUUUAUCAGACACCAACCCAUUAGGGCUGAUCAGACUUCCAAGAUAAGUUAAGUU